rnacentral:rRNA from 1 species
AUUGAACGCUGGCGGCAGGCCUAACACAUGCAAGUCGAACGAGUGGCGGACGGGUGAGUAAUGUCUGGGAAACUGCCUGAUGGAGGGGGAUAACUACUGGAAACAGGUGCUAAUACCGUAUACUGAUGGAUGGACCCGCGGUGCAUUAGCUAGUUGGUGAGGUAACGGCUCACCAAGGCCACGAUGCAUAGCCGACCUGAGAGGGUGAUCGGCCACAUUGGGACUGAGACACGGCCCAAACUCCUACGGGAGGCAGCAGUGGGGAAUAUUGCACAAUGGGCGCAAGCCUGAUACAGCCAUGCCGCGUGUAUGAAGAAGGCCUUCGGGUUGUAAAGUACUUUCAGCGGGGAGGCGUUACCCGCAGAAGAAGCACCGGCUAACUCCGUGCCAGCAGCCGCGGUAAUUC